AGCAGCCGCGGUAAUUCCAGCUCCAAUAGCGUAUAUUAAAGUUGUUGCAGUUAAAAGCUCGUAGUUGAAUUUCGGGAUCAAUUAAUUGGUCGUGCCUCUGGUACGUACUGAUUUUAUUGGUUUCUCCCUUCUGACGAACCAUGAUGUCAUUAAUUUGGUGUCGUGGAGAAUCAGGACUGUUACUUUGAAAAAAUUAGAGUGUUUAAAGCAAGCUAACGCUUGAAUACAUUAGCAUGGAAUAAUGAAAUAGGACGUUUGAUCCUAUUUUGUUGGUUUCUAGGAUCGACGUAAUGAUUAAUAGGGAUAGUUGGGGGCAUUAGUAUUCAAUUGUCAGAGGUGAAAUUCUUGGAUUUAUUGAAGACUAACUACUGCGAAAGCAUUUGCCAAGGAUGUUUUCAUUAAUCAAGAACGAAAGUUAGGGGAUCGAAGACGAUCAGAUACCGUCGUAGUCUUAACCAUAAACUAUGCCGACUAGGGAUCGGAUGAUGUUAAUUUUUUAAUGACUCAUUCGGCGCCUUAC
rnacentral:sRNA from 1 species